rfam:Drosophila sechellia strain Rob3c scaffold_8350 genomic scaffold, whole genome shotgun sequence.
UUCUCCGUAACUUCGGGAUAAGGAUUGGCUCUGAAGAUUGCCGUAUAGUCGGGCUUGAUUGGGAAACAAUAACAUGGUUUAUGUGCUCGUUCUGGGUAAAUAGAGUUUCUAGCAUUUAUGUUAGUUACUUGUUCCCCGGAUAGUUUAGUUACGUAGCCAAUUGUGGAACUUUCUUGCUAAAAUUUUUAAGAAUACUAUUUGGGUUAAACCAAUUAGUUCUUAUCAAUUAUAACGAUUAUCAAUUAACAAUCAAUUCAGAACUGGCACGGACUUGGGGAAUCCGACUGUCUAAUUAAAACAAAGCAUUGUGAUGGCCCUAGCGGGUGUUGACACAAUGUGAUUUCUGCCCAGUGCUCUGAAUGUCAAAGUGAAGAAAUUCAAGUAAGCGCGGGUCAACGGCGGGAGUAACUAUGACUCUCUUAAGGUAGCCAAAUGCCUCGUCAUCUAAUUAGUGACGCGCAUGAAUGGAUUAACGAGAUUCCUACUGUCCCUAUCUACUCGCCGUGUGGUUAGCGGGCGAGAAUACUUCCACAGCCCGCUAUUGCUUGUCGUAAGAGGCGACUAAUAUAGCGACUGGUUCCUCUAACCAUGCUUGUCGGAGCAAAAGGAGGAGGCCCACCGAGCCUCUCUUUCGGUACCACGGGUUGUGCUGCUCCAAGACAGCACAUUGAGGAAGGCCCCCUGGUGGGAGUAUCGUGGUGGCUGUGGUUGAUACCCAUAUCGCGGGUAGAGCCUUCGUGUUCGACGUUUGAGUUACGGUGCUAGUUGCGCAAAACUCGGGUGCUGUGACCCAGAGAUCAGUAGAGAUUUUAGGUAGAUCUCGCUCCUCAGCAAGGGGGAGUGCUUGCCCGGCAAGCAAGUACUCGAAUUGCUACCGGGGUGGUCGCUAUGUACAUAGCUAUAGCUUCCAGUCCGGGACGUUUGUCUGGCGUAUCCAGACUCAUGCACCAUGUUGAUACAUGCACCACUUGUGGGUGUUCAGGGUGUCGUGGUUGUAAUCCCUUCAGUGUGGAACACGCCACGUAAAACAAGUUCGGAGAGGUCCGAAAGUCACUGUCCCUAUCUACUAUCUAGCGAAACCACAGCCAAGGGAACGGGCUUGGAAUAAUUAGCGGGGAAAGAAGACCCUUUUGAGCUUGACUCUAAUCUGGCAGUGUAAGGAGACAUAAGAGGUGUAGAAUAAGUGGGAGAUAUUAGACCUCGGUUUGGUAUCGUCAAUGAAAUACCACUACUCUUAUUGUUUCCUUACUUACUUGAUUAAAUGGAACGUGUAUCAUUUCCUAGCCAUUAUACGGAUAUAUUUAUUAUAUCUUAUGGUAUUGGGUUUUGAUGCAAGCUUCUUGAUCAAAGUAUCACGAGUUUGUUAUAUAAUCGCAAACAAAUUCUUUAAUAAAACGAUGCAUUUAUGUAUUUUUGAUUUGAAAAUUUGGUAUAACUCCAAUUACUCAGGUAUGAUCCAAUUCAAGGACAUUGCCAGGUAGGGAGUUUGACUGGGGCGGUACAUCUCUCAAAUAAUAACGGAGGUGUCCCAAGGCCAGCUCAGUGCGGACAGAAACACACACAUAGAGCAAAAGGGCAAAUGCUGACUUGAUCUCGGU